rnacentral:rRNA from 1 species
AGAACGAACGCUGGCGGCAUGCCUAACACAUGCAAGUCGAACGAGACCUUCGGGUCUAGUGGCGCACGGGUGCGUAACGCGUGGGAAUCUGCCCUUGGGUUCGGGAUAACAGUUGGAAACGACUGCUAAUACCGGAUGAUGACUUCGGUCCAAAGAUUUAUCGCCCAGGGAUGAGCCCGCGUAGGAUUAGCUAGUUGGUGAGGUAAAGGCUCACAAAGGCGACGAUCCUUAGCUGGUCUGAGAGGAUGAUCAGCCACACUGGGACUGAGACACGGCCCAGACUCCUACGGGAGGCAGCAGGUGGGGAAUA